UGCAGUCGAGCGGUAACAGGGGGAGCUUGCUUCCGCUGACGAGCGGCGGACGGGUGAGUAAUGCAUAUGAAACUGCCCCUUAGUGGGGGAUAGCCCGGGGAAACCCGGAUUAAUACCGCGUACGCCCUUCGGGGGAAAGCAGGGGAUCUUCUGACCUUGCGCUAUUGGAUGUGCCUAUGUCGGAUUAUCUAGUUGGUGGGGUAAAAGCCUACCAAGGCGACAAUCCGUAUCUGGUCUGAGAGGAUGAUCAGCCACAUCGGGACUGAGACACGGCCCGAACUCCUACGGGAGGCAGCAGUGGGGAAUAUUGGACAAUGGGGGCAACCCUGAUCCAGCCAUGCCGCGUGUGUGAAGAAGGCUUUCGGGUUGUAAAGCACUUUCAGUGAGGAGGAAAAGUUUGUCUUUAAUACCCUUGAGGCUUGACGUUACUCACAGAAGAAGCACCGGCUAACUCCGUGCCAGCAGCCGCGGUAAUACCGAGGGUGCAAGCGUUAAUCGGAAUUACUGGGCGUAAAGCGCGCGUAGGUGGUUUGAUAAGCCAGAUGUGAAAGCCCCGGGCUUAACCUGGGAACGGCAUUUC
rnacentral:rRNA from 1 species